UUCCCUCUUCGGCCUAAAGAGGAAUUACCAUCAGCCAUCACCAGGAAGAGCAAGUUAACUUUUCAGGUUGUUUCUCAGAGACCAUUUAAAGUCUGUGCUAUAGAGUAGGCAUGGCUCCAGUUCCAGAAGGAAGACUUGGGUCAAGUAGCUCACAGGCAAAUGACUUAAAUGCUUCUUAUAAGAUACUACCUGAAACAAUCUCUGCUUAAAACAUCCGAUCUCCAUAUUGUCGGAUCUUCCUAUAACUCUGGGAUGGCAGCUUUUAGUAGCAGCUAAAGAUAGCCAUCAUGUACGAGCAGAAUGCAUUCUGGGGCAAAGGGGAAAAUGGAAAAGUUCAGAAAUCCAUCUAGAAGAAAUAGGAUCCGUUGGUUGAAUCCAUACAUGCAGAACCCACAGAUAUGGAAAGCCAAAUGUGUAUCCAGGAGUAUUAUCUGUAUGGGCCAUUGAAUACAUAGAACUUAAUGUGACUUAAAACAUUAUAUUAUAAAUUAAUUUAGCAUCUAAAUGUAUGUUAAAUUAUAA